rnacentral:misc_RNA from 1 species
AACGCACAUUGCGCCCAUUAGUAUUCUAGUGGGCAUGCCUGUUCGAGCGUCAUUUCAACCCUUAAGCCUAGCUUAGUGUUGGGAGUCUACUAAGUGGUAACUUUGUUAUCCUGUAGUUCCUAAAAUGAAACGGCGGAUCUGCAGUAUCCUCUGAGCGUAGUAAAUCUUUAUCUCGCUUUUGUCAGGUGCUGUGGCUCUUGCCGCUAAACCCCCAAUUUUUAAUGGUUGACCUCGGAUCAGGUAGGAAUACCCGCUGAACUUAA